GGCGGGUGCAAAGACCCCGGAGAACCUUACGUAACGCGCGGGUCGGGCGAGGUCGGCUCUUGGCCAAUCGCGGCCGCCAGGCGCCCGGGUCGGGGGCGGAGUGGCCAGGAGGACGCCAGGGCCUUAGUGGCGCAAGUCUAGGGCAGGGCUGCCCGGAGGCGGGGCCUUGGAGCUGACGGUCAGGAGAGGGCGGGCCCGGGGGCGUGGCCUGCGCGGCGGACAGGUCUUUCUCCACACCAGAUCACAGCUACUGAGUGCACACCUGGGCAGAGAUGAUUGCACUUUCUGAAGACAGGACAAAAAUCUCUCAGACCUAACACGUAACACGAAUGACUCCCGAAAGUCACCAAAGUCUUGACAUGUUUCAGCUGUGAACCAACUGAAGACAAGCUGCUGGGCAUUCCUGAUGGGUUUCCUUGCUCCGACUGUGUCAAGUGGGGAAGACUUACCCUAAACAUGGACGGAAACUUUGGGUGGCAAUCCAGAUGAUGAUGAUGGAGGGGGCCUUCACUCACUGCCAAGUUCAUCUGCCCUGCUGUUGCUGCACUUUGCCUCGACCAAGAUUCACCUUCUUCGGGCUUCAAGAUGGGCUGAAGACCAGAGGUUUUCCAGGAAUACUCCAGGCUGGAGCACUCAGCCUCAUGUACUGAGUGGCUACGAGGUUCUCUGUAAGGAAAUGGUGGUUUGGGACUGGAUUGACUCAGCACACCAAGGGCCAACUUCUCAGCACAAAGGAGAUAUAUUUGCCCCAGAGGGACAAAGGGCAGGGAGUAAGAGACAAAGGCCGGGGUUAGAGGAUGAGAGAAAAAGGGGAGGGGACUAGGUGGAGGGGUCAGGGACAAAGGACUGCCUCUGGAUAGAGAAGAGAUAGACCCAUAGGACAAUGGCAGUUUAUAAAGGGUUUAUUUAACUGGGCAUGUUAAUCAGGUGAGCCAAACGGGGCUUUUGAUUGCUGAGCUGAAAUACUUUGAUAGGUGGACCUUGGUAGUCAGCCUUAGGAUGAGGAAGUGGCAGCUUUAGAUUUUAGCAUGGCACAGGGUGGGAGAGAAGGGCAAGGUCUGCCAGAGCUACGUUUGCCAUGCUCAGGUUGGGUGGGGUUCCUUCAUUUCUAGCCUCUCCAGUGAGGUGAGGCAGACCAUAUCACACAAGCCAAUCUAAUAAAUCUGCUAACAUAUACUCAUCAGUUCUGCUCCUCUAGAGACCCCUAACACGGGAUGGAAUCCACAGCUAACGCAUGGAAACAUGCUCCUGUGGGGGUAAGAAAGAAAAGUAGUGUGUGGGGGUGGGGACAGCAAGGGGAAGAAGUUUUAGGACAUGGAUCAGGUGAAUCCACCACACCCCAAGGAACACAAGACAGGAUCAUGGUAACAAACAACUUUAUUCAGGACAUCAUAGCGGGAAAGUCCCCAGUUAAAUGCACAGACAAGCGAGGUAUUACUGUGUUAAUGCAGGAGCCAAUGAGUUGCACGGGUCUGAGUAUGGAGGAGACAGCACCAAGGUUGUGGGGUCAGGCCAGGACAGAAGCCCUAGGCUGCUGCUGCUUUCCCACAGUGGAGCAGGCUUUCGAUGUUUGUAUUGUUUCAGUAAUGUCAGGGAACAAAUCAAAAACUGGAGCCAGAUUCUGUCACAUGUUGACUGAUGCCACUCUGCACACAAACACAAAUUCCAGGGCACUGUGGUGGCACCGCUACAGGCAAAUAAAGCCUGUUUCUUCUCACUGCUCUCUUACUUCCAGUGACGCCUGAACUCCCAUCUUUGAACCACCCUUGAUCCAAGGCUCAGAUACACAAGGAAAGUGUCUCCGUCGGCAUCUCUGCCUGGCUAUCUACGUGGAAGCGACCAACGCCUCCCUUCCAGGGCAGCACGGAGCCUGCUGUAGGAAGUGGCAUGGCUGGAAGCAGCCCCCGCCCGAGAGCUCUGAUGUGAGGCCGCCGCACUGCUGCUGCUCGGUGCUCUGGAGGCCACAGCUUCCAGCUCAGUCUGCAAACCGCUGGCUGAAUGUCUUACUACAGGCGUGCCUUCAGCUCACCUCUACAGCUCCGUGAGGAAACCAAGUCUGAAGGGGCAUUAUCUACAGUAUUUCAGAGGAAGGACUGGGAAAAUGUUGAAGGCUCACACAGUAAUUAUUAACUCUUUUUCUUCAAGGGCACCUUGAGUUACAUUUGGCACUUAUGUGAAUUUAAUCUAUGAGGAACAGACUUAUGGACAUUUUAUUUGUAUUUGACUUUUGGCCACAGAGAAACUUUGGUCACAGUUCUAUAAGAACUUUAAAGGGUUAUUUUUGAUUAAAUACUUCUAGGAGUGAUGCACAAGAACAAGAGAGCAAACAUGUUGACACCUAACAUGAAAGCAUCUUAAAUACAGCAGGGUCAGUAGUGCUUACAAAAAUGAGGGUCCUCCUACUGAAAAGGAGCCAAGUAUCAAAAUAAGGCAUACCCUAUUGUCACUGAUUUGUACUAGGCAGUAGUGUUCUUCCCGGAAGGCACAACUGGGGAAUCUAAUCACCCAAGGGUUUAAAAUGUGGUUUUGAAGGCGAUCUCAGUGUGGGGACAGCUGACUUGAACAAAAUCCCCUUCCUGGAAUCCACAGCAAGUCAUCAGUGACAGCAUCCGUCUAGACUCCAGCACUCUGGGGCAUCAGAAGUCCUCUUCCCUAGUUGGUGCAGAAAUCUAUGAAGGCGCUGUGCAGAAUGUGGGCAGGGGAGGUCACACCCCUUCUGGAGUGUAUAUUAAAACAAAGGCACAUUUCCUAGACACUGAACUGUAUGUAAACUAACAAAAAUAAUCACUUGGAAAAAACAGUAGGUAAGCUUGAUAACACAGCAGGUUUUGAGUAGAAAGUCUUGAAGAAGCUCCUCAACAGUGGGCUUCAGUUUCCUGGGUUCUUCAUUAAGAGACACACCACA